rnacentral:sRNA from 1 species
UAUAUAGACAAAAAUAACUCUAUUGAUACGCCUUACCCCCUCUGUAUAAUAAAUAUAGAUCGUACUAAAUUGAAAAUAGCAAAAUAUUGUUAUUUCAAUUAUACAAUGUUUUAUUUGCAAUAUACAUAACAAUAUGAACUUUAUAAUUUUGAUAUUGUCGGUAAAGUGAAAUUUGUGGCA